rnacentral:rRNA from 1 species
AUUGAACGCUGGCGGCAGGCCUAACACAUGCAAGUCGAACGGUAACAGGGAUCAGCUUGCUGAUUCGCUGACGAGUGGCGGACGGGUGAGUAAUGUCUGGGAAACUGCCUGAUGGAGGGGGAUAACUACUGGAAACGGUAGCUAAUACCGCAUAACGUCGCAAGACCAGAGAGGGGGACCUUCGGGCCUCUUGCCAUCGGAUGUGCCCAGAUGGGAUUAGCUAGUAGGUGGGGUAACGGCUCACCUAGGCGACGAUCCCUAGCUGGUCUGAGAGGAUGACCAGCCACACUGGAACUGAGACACGGUCCAGACUCCUACGGGAGGCAGCAGUGGGGAAUAUUGCACAAUGGGCGCAAGCCUGAUGCAGCCAUGCCGCGUGUAUGAAGAAGGCCUUCGGGUUGUAAAGUACUUUCAGCGGGGAGGAAGGGAGUAAAGUUAAUACCUUUGCUCAUUGACGUUACCCGCAGAAGAAGCACCGGCUAACUCCGUG